CUGGUGAAGAAUGUGCUGACUGGACCUAAGACCCUAUUCCUGGUGAGGCUGUUCUACUGACACAUGAGCAGAGGACUUGGAGGAUCUUGGAGUGGGACAUUGGUAUGGCUUGGGACUUCAACCUGGGAACUCUGGCUCUUGAACUGCUUCUGGAAAGACUGCUCCUGGAUCUUCUCCUUUGAAGCUUCAUGUGGGUGUCUGGACAGAGGGGUGGGGCAUGCAAAAAACUGUCCUUGGUCUCCAGGAAGAUGGGGAAUGGAGUAGCUCCCUGAGUGCCAGCCAUUACUGUCCAGCAUUAAACAUGAGUGGAUUCUUGUGAUCUGUGAAGGGAAACUGUGGAGGUGAAAACAUGUGGCAAAGAAAAAGGAUUAAAAUGAAAGACUCAUGAAAAAAGGACACACACACAGAGAGUACAGAAGCAACAUAAGCAAACUGCUUCAACCAGUAGCCACUUAAGGUUUGUAUUUAAAUGUAAAUGGCCGACUGAAAGCAAAGAGAAUUCACACCACUAAAGAAACAACAAAUGUUUUCCCACAGGCAUUAUAAGAAUUUACAAGGUUUUACAAGAUUUGUGGGAAAGGAAGUCAAUUCCUAAAGUUGCUGUAAGUAAGCAAGUAAGAUACCUAUGUUGUAGCAGUUCAGCUCCUACAAAAAAGUUCUUGAGUAGAUUUUAUCACCUAGAAGGGAAGCCAAGGAUUGGGAGACUAUGGUUAAAAGGUUUAAAGAUUAAGGGAGGCAAGACAUAAGUUAGACAAACACAUAAGAUGUAAGAUUUGAAUUUAGGUUUUGACUCAAUAUGACAGUUAAAAAAGUGGUCAUUAUUUAUAAAAUAUUAGCCCCUAAGUCAAAAUGACUAUUAGCAGCUUUUAUUUACAACAAGGUAGAAAAAAACGAAAGUAGGAAAUGUAGAAAAGGGACUGAGCAUUAACAAGCUUACCAGCCCUAAAUGCCUCUCCAGUGAAGUUUGGCUUAGACCCCUGCAAGGGCUACUCAAGUUCUGAUCUCCAUAUGAAAGUCUAAUAGUCUCCAGCAAGAGUCUCUCCACAAGCCAAGGAAGAAAUCUCUGGAACCAAUCUUUCCACAAGCUAAGGCAGCAAAGAGAGUCAAGGAACCAAUCUCUCCAAAAACCAAAGAAGGGAAGGGAAUCCAGACUUUGUUGGUCUCUUUUUAUACUCCAUUUCCCAUAUUAUUUCCUGUCUCUCCCCCUCUUCACAGAAAAUAAUAGCAGUCUUUCAGUUUGCCUAAUACUGCCCAGGGGAACAGU
rnacentral:lncRNA from 1 species